AAGCUGCCUGAGUUUUCUGUCAAUAGCUGCUGUGUUUUUGUUUUUUUGUUUUUUGUUUAUGUUUUUAGAGGGGGUCAUUAACUGAACCCAAAGCGAUGCGUAGCAAACCGCAGUGAGUAAUAGCGAGAAGCUUUGGGGGCAAUCUGUGAGACUGCUGUGGCUUCCGUGUUUGUUUACGGGAUACUCUGAUUCAUCUAGUGAUUGCUUCAUCAGUUAAUAGAGGGGUUUUACCCGGACAUGGAGGAGCCCGACAUACGACAACAGAAGCUGGACAACCAGCGAACCCUUUUGAUGAAGAAGCAGCAAAAGAAGAGAGCUGAUUCUCAAAUGGUGUUGACCAACCGGGACACUCGACAGAAGAAUCGAAAGCACAAAGCUGUCCACUCUGAUGAGACGCCUCUGUUGAUCAGCCAAUCCCUGAGCAGCACUUCUCUUAGUGAUCAAGUUGAGCAUGCCCUUGAUAACCCACUGGAUGUGAUUACACUUGGUGAAGGUGACGCAACAGCAAACGUGGAGUUAGAUGAGAUGCCUGCAGAGAAGCCAGUCGUUCCCAAGAAAAUGAACUUGGAGAUUGACAGAGAGCCUGAGGUGAAAUGCGAAGAGGCCAACGAAGCCCAGGU
rnacentral:lncRNA from 1 species